UACAGAGCCCUCGAGCGUUAUCCGGAUUCAUUGGGCGUAAAGCGUCCGCAGGUUGUUAAGUAAGUCAAUGGUCAAAUCUUCCGGCCCAACCGGAAAACUGCCGUUGAUACUGCUUGACUUGAGGCUGGGAGAGGUAAGCGGAACUGCAGGUGUAGUAGUAAAAUGCGUUGAUAUCUGCAGGAACACCAAAGGCGAAGGCAGCUUACUGGAACAGUUCUGACACUCAUGGACGAAAGCGUGGGUAGCGAAUCGG
rnacentral:misc_RNA from 1 species